GGGGCAGUAGCUCAGAGGUUAGAGAAUCUGCUUUGACUGCAGGAAGUCGCAGGUUCAAUCCCUGGCACCUCCA